rnacentral:rRNA from 1 species
UACAGAGGGGGCAAGCGUUGUUCGGAAUUACUGGGCGUAAAGGGCGCGUAGGCGGCCUUCUAAGUCAGACGUGAAAUCCCUCGGCUCAACCGGGGAACUGCGUCUGAGACUGAAAGGCUUGAAUCCGGGAGAGGAAUGCGGAAUUCCAGGUGUAGCGGUGAAAUGCGUAGAUAUCAAGAGGAACACCUGAGGUGAAGACGGGUUGCUGGGCCAACACUGACGCUGAUGCGCGAAAGCCAGGGGAGCAAACGGG